rnacentral:rRNA from 1 species
GCCAGACUCCUACGGGAGGCAGCAGUGGGGAAUAUUGCACAAUGGGGGAAACCCUGAUGCAGCAACGCCGCGUGAGUGAAGAAGUAUUUCGGUAUGUAAAGCUCUAUCAGCAGGGAAGAAGAAAGACGGUACCUGACUAAGAAGCCCCGGCUAACUACGUGCCAGCAGCCGCGGUAAUACGUAGGGGGCAAGCGUUAUCCGGAUUUACUGGGUGUAAAGGGGGCGCAGACGGCGAUGCAAGCCAGGAGUGAAAGCCCGGGGCCCAACCCCGGGACUGCUCUUGGAACUGCGUGGCUGGAGUGCAGGAGGGGCAGGCGGAAUUCCUGGUGUAGCGGUGAAAUGCGUAGAUAUCAGGAGGAACACCGGUGGCGAAGGCGGCCUGCUGGACUGCAACUGACGUUGAGGCCCGAAAGCGUGGGGAGCAAACAGGAUUAGAUACCCCAGUA